rnacentral:rRNA from 1 species
AUUCCUGUUUAUCCUGCAGGAGGUCACUGCUAUUGGGAUGCGAUUUAGACAUGCAAGUCAAGGAUUCUUCGGAGUCCUGGCGUACGGCUCAGUAACACGUCGAUAAUCUGCCUUAUGGUCUGGGAUAACCUUGAGAAAUUGAGGAUAAGCCCAGAUAAGAAAAAACUACUGGAAUGUGUUUUUUCUGAAAAGCAAUGCCAUAAGAUGAGUCGGCGGCUGAUUAGGUAGUUGGUGAGGUAAAGAUUAGAAUCAACCUUGAUUCUAAAUUACAAGCUCACCAAGCCUGUGAUCAGUAAGGGGAAUGAAAGUUCUGGCCUUGAGAAGGACACUGAGACAAGGGUCCUAGCCCUAAGGGGUGCAGCAGUCGCGAAACCUUUACAAUGCGCGUAAGCGUGAUAGGGGUAUCCCAAGUGCCUACCUUCUGGGUAGGCUUUUGCUGAGUAUAAAUAGCUCAGAGAAUAAGUGGUGGGCAAGACUGGUGCCAGCAGCCGCGGUAACCCCAGCGCCACAAGUGGUGACCACAAUUAUUGGGCCUAAAGCGUCCGUAGCUGGCUCAAAAAAUCCUUUGUGAAAUUGUUGGACUCAAUCUAACAACGUGCAGAGGAGACUUUUGGGCUUGAGACCGGGAAGAGAUAGAAGUAUUCCUUGGGGAGCGGUUAAAUGUUAUAAUCCUUGGAGGACUACCAAUAGCGAAGGCAUCUAUCUAGAACGGGUCUGACAGUGAGGGACGAAAGCUAGGGGAGCAACGCGGAUUAGAUAUGGACAAGAAACUUAUAAAAUUUAAAAUAAUGUUGCAAAAAAAUUAAUUUAUUUUAAAUAAAUGUCUCUUAUGUUCACUAAAUACCCGAUUAGUCCUAGCUGUAAACGCUGCGAACUAGGUGUUGCAUAUUCUUUGGGAGUAUGCAGUGCCGGAGCGAAGGUGUUAAGUUCGCCGCCUGGGAAGUACGGCCGCAAGACUGAAACUUAAAGGAAUUGGCGGGGGCGCACUACAAGGGGUGAAGUGUGCGGUUUAAUCUAACUCUACUCAGAAAAUCUUACCAUGGGCGAUGGCAUGAUGAAGGUCAGAUUAAAGGUCUUACCUAAAGGGCCCAGAGAUGCUGCAUGGCCGUCGUCAGCUCGUGCCGUGAGGUGUCACGUUAAGUCGUGCAACGAGCAAGACCUACAUUUAUAGUUGCUAACGAGUCUUUUCGAUGUUCGAGCACACUAUGAAGACUGCCUUGGUAACAAGGAGGAAGGUGUAGGCAACGAUAGGUCUGUAUGGCUCGAAUCUCAUGGGAUACACACGCACUGCAAUGAUAAGGACAAUAGGAUACAACUCCGUAAGGAGAAGUUAAUCCCUCAAACCUUAUCUUAGUUCAGAUUGAGGGUUGUAACUCACCCUCAUGAAGCCGGAAUCCCUAGUAAUCGGAUAUCAUCAGUGUCCGGUGAAUACGUCAAUGUGCCUUGCACACACUGCCCAUCAAGUCAACCGAGCAGAGUUUUGGUGAGGUUUAGUUUUUAGCUAAAUCAAAUCAGAGCUCAGUAAGGUGGGUUAAGUUGUCACAAGGUAUCUGUAGGGGAACCUGCAGAUGGAUCACCUCCU